rnacentral:rRNA from 1 species
UAGGGAAUCUUCCGCAAUGGGCGAAAGCCUGACGGAGCAACGCCGCGUGAGUGAUGAAGGUCUUCGGAUCGUAAAACUCUGUUAUUAGGGAAGAAUAAAUGUGUAAGUAACUAUGCACGUCUUGACGGUACCUAAUCAGAAAGCCACGGCUAACUACGUGCCAGCAGCCGCGGUAAUACGUAGGUGGCAAGCGUUGUCCGGAUUUAUUGGGCGUAAAGCGAGCGCAGGCGGUCAAUUAAGUCUGAUGUGAAAGCCCCCGGCUCAACCGGGGAGGGUCAUUGGAAACUGGUUGACUUGAGUGCAGAAGAGGAGAGUGGAAUUCCAUGGGUAGCGGUGAAAUGCGUAGAUAUAUGGAGGAACACCAGUGGCGAAGGAGACUCUCUGGUCUGUAACUGACGCUGAGGCUCGAAAGCGUGGGUAGCAAACAGG